GAUGAAGAACGCAGCGAAAUGCGAUAAGUAAUGUGAAUUGCAGAAUUCAGUGAAUCAUCGAAUCUUUGAACGCACAUUGCGCCCGCCAGCAUUCUGGCGGGCAUGCCUGUUCGAGCGUCAUUUCAACCCUCAAGCUCUGCUUGGUGUUGGGGCCCUACGGUUGACGUAGGCCCUUAAAGGUAGUGGCGGACCCUCUCGGAGCCUCCUUUGCGUAGUAACUAACGUCUCGCACUGGGAUUCGGAGGGACUCUUGCCGUAAAACCCCCAAAUUUUUAAAGGUUGACCUCGGAUCAGGUAGGAGUACCCGCUGAACUUAAGCAUAUCAAUAAGCGGAGGA
rnacentral:misc_RNA from 1 species